rnacentral:rRNA from 1 species
GACGAACGCUGGCGGCGUGCUUAACACAUGCAAGUCGAACGCUGAAGCCUAGCUUUUGUUGGGUGGAUGAGUGGCGAACGGGUGAGUAACACGUGAGUAACCUGCCCCCUUCUUUGGGAUAACGCCCGGAAACGGGUGCUAAUACUGGAUACUCACUGAUCUUCGCAUGGGGGUUGGUGGAAAGGUUUUUUCUGGUGGGGGAUGGGCUCGCGGCCUAUCAGCUUGUUGGUGGGGUGAUGGCCUACCAAGGCUUUGACGGGUAGCCGGCCUGAGAGGGUGACCGGUCACAUUGGGACUGAGAUACGGCCCAGACUCCUACGGGAGGCAGCAGUGGGGAAUAUUGCACAAUGGGCGAAAGCCUGAUGCAGCGACGCCGCGUGAGGGAUGGAGGCCUUCGGGUUGUAAACCUCUUUCGCUCAUGGUCAAGCCGCAACAUUGGUUGUGGUGAGGGUAGUGGGUAAAGAAGCGCCGGCUAACUACGUGCCAGCAGCCGCGGUAAUACGUAGGGCGCGAGCGUUGUCCGGAAUUAUUGGGCGUAAAGGGCUUGUAGGCGGUUGGUCGCGUCUGCCGUGAAAUCCUCUGGCUUAACUGGGGGGCGUGCGGUGGGUACGGGCUGACUUGAGUGCGGUAGGGGAGACUGGAACUCCUGGUGUAGCGGUGGAAUGCGCAGAUAUCAGGAAGAACACCGGGGGGCGAAGGCGGGUCUCUGGGCCGUUACUGGACGCUGAGGAGCGAAAGCGUGGGGAGCGAACAG